UACGUUUUAGAGGUUUGAAAACUAAUUUUAGAGAAAAAUAGGAAACUGAUUGGAUUCUUUGGAAGAGAAGGCAAAAGGAUAGUGAAUUUCAUGGAAAAUGACAUUUCUAGACACAGACCCUUUUGUUGAUAAGACUAAGCAACUUGUAGCCCUUUGUUCCAUGUGGAUAUCCAAGAAAAAUGUAAGGUUGUGAUCUAGGAUCAAACCUGCUUCUAUGAAUGGAUGAAGUGGGAAAAAAAAAGAGCACAAACAUCCAAAGCACCUCAUGUUGUGAUACUUAGGAACUGAUCCAAAAAGAAUCUGAUAAGCUUGACGCAAGAGACAGAUGUGAAAGUGAAGAUUGCGGCAUAAGUUAUACCCAAAAGAGGGAGUUUCAAGUAUCUUGGGUCCAUAAUACAAGGGAACGGGGAGAUUGACGAUAAUGUCACACAUCGUAUUGGAGCAGGGUGGAUGAAAUGGAGGCUCGCCUCUGGGGUGCUUUGCGAUAAGAAGGUGUCUCCUAGGCCUAAAGGUAAGUUCUACAAAGUGGUGGUAAGACCAGCAUUGUUGUAUGGGGCAGAAUGCUGGGCAAUCAAGAACGUUCAUGUUCAGAAGAUGAAGGUAGCGGAAAUGCGGAUGCUUAGAUGGAUGUGCGGUCAUACUAGAAGAGAUAUGAUUAGGAAUGAAGAUAUAUGGGACAAGGUCGGAGUGGACUCCGUGGCGGACAAGUUAUGGGAAGCGAAAUUGAGAUGGUUCGGACAUACGAGGAGGAGGUGUGAGGAUGUGCCAGUUAGGAGGUGUUAGAGAUUGGCGGUCGCAGGAGUUAGGAGAGGUAGAGGUAGGCCGAAAAAGAACAAGGGGGAGGUGAUGAAACAAGAUAUGGCACAGCUUUAGCUGACUUAGGACAUGACCUUAGAUAGGAAAUUUUGGAGGUCGAGGAUUAGGAUAGUAGGUAGUUAAGUUCUGUAGCGAUGUGUGAGAGAGAGGUGGGCGGCUAGCUUUUCCAUCUCCUUUCUCCUUGCCUUAGUAGUAUUAUUUUGGUGGAUCACUGGAGGAAACAACCACAUUUGCUCUAGAAGUUGAUUGGUAUGACUGCUUCUGCUUGGUGAAAUUGAAAUUAGAGGGGAAUCCAUGCAACUUGUAACAUUUCUCGACGGUAUGACCUACUUUUUUGCAAUAAGUACAAAAUGCAAAAUCCUUUUUGUUAUAAACUGCUCUUCGUGCCUGAUAUGUUGGCCUUUUGUUCAAGCUUUUUCUAGAUCAUUGUCCAUCAGCUAUGAAACAAGUUGAUUCCACUGGAUAAGGGACAGAAUGAUGGAUCUCUGUUCGUUUCUCAUUUUAUAUAACUAAGGAGGAAGCAUGUCUAGUAAAAGGGAGAGAGGUAUUCAUCAAGAUGUUCCUCCUUAUUCUAAGGGAAGAAUCAUUAAAUCGCAUAAGAAAUUGUAACGACCUCUCAUCCUCUAGAGCUUUGUUAGUCUUAUAUUUUUCCAUCAUAUUCACAAGCACAAAGAGAAAAAGUAUUAGAAUCUAACUCAUCCCAAAGACACUUUAGCUUGGUAAAAUAGGUUGUUAUACUUAGAUUACCUUAAACUAAAGUGGAUAAUCCCUUUUGUAGUUAGAAGAGCUUAGCACCGUUGGUCUGUCCAUGCUCGCUUUUAGACCUUCCAAAGUUACCUUGCAAUGUGUGAAUAAAGCACACUAGUUGCUAUGUCCCUUAAAAGAGAAUUCAAGAGCCAUGAAAGGACCAUGAAAGGAAAGCAGAAGAAAAGAGACUGAAGAAUAGUGUAUUAAACCUGCUCUGAUACAUGUUGGUUGAGAGAAGAUUUAGGAUAAAUUUUCUGAUUUUCAUUGAUGAGAAUAACGUGUUCUGUAGAUAGAGAUUUAUACGAGAAGCAAAUGUGAAUUCCUAA